CACGUAGGGCGCAAGCGUUGUCCGGAAUUAUUGGGCGUAAAGAGCUCGUAGGCGGUCUGUUGCGUCCGCUGUGAAAACCCGCAGCUCAACUGUGGGCUUGCAGCUGAUACGGGCAGGCUUGAGUUCGGUAGGGGAGACUGGAAUUCCUGGUGUAGCGGUGAAAUGCGCAGAUAUCAGGAGGAACACCGGUGGCGAAGGCGGGUCUCUGGGCCGAUACUGACGCUGAGGAGCGAAAGCGUGGGGAGCGAACAGG
rnacentral:rRNA from 1 species